rnacentral:rRNA from 1 species
AUGAAGGACGCUGCUGUGAGCCAUGCCACUCCAUCAGCAAGCGUUGAAGUGGACGCUCCCGAGACCAACCUAAGCAAGGAAGAUUCCCGCUCAUCUGACACUGAUUCCAAGCGCGUGCGUGGUGGCACUCGUAUGUCCAUGACAGAAGUGGCUGAGGUGGCAGUUCAUAAUGAUGUGCCAUCUGCAGGUGAGAGUCUUGGCACAACAGCUUCAGCUCCUGUCGGUGUAGAUACUGCUAAGGCGACUGUUUCGCGUGCUGGUCUUCCACCGAGGCGUCGUAGCCCCCGCAAGCAAUCAACAGACAUACCCAACGCACCAGCUGUAGCUAGGAGCAACAGAGAUGAGUCUGGUUAUGUUCCCGCGUCCACACUGUUCCCGCCACCUACCAAAAGCAAUGUGAUGGAGAAACCGGAAGACCGGAGAACAACUGAUGCAGGUGUCAAGCCGGGCACGAGUGACGCAUGUGAACAUCCGGAGCAGACUGCGCCUUUACCCGCAGUGGAAAUCCCCAGCUUAAAUCUGCGCACUUCCAGGCUCCCAGUCAAUGUUGGUGUCCCCUACAGCCCAAACAAGAAGAUUGUCAAGGAAGUUGCGGCUGAUACCGCUGACAACACGUCCCGCCCUACAAAUAAGCCCGAUCAUUCUGUAGCGGCCGAUUCAGAUAUGUUUGUUGAUCUUUCACCCUUGGAUUCUGCCCCGCAAGUUGUUCGCGGUCCGGCCAGUAGGCAUGAGAGGCACCCAAUGGCCUUCACCCCACCCAGCUUCAGCCUUGGCAUCAGUCAAGAUCAACCAGUGGUGGCAGAUCCUAUGCCAGUUGCCUUUGCUUUCCCGAGAGGCAUGCCCGCAAUGAUGGCGCAGCCAAUGGUCGAGGGCAGGAAGGCUGUCAAGUUCGCAGAGCCGAUCGUCCAAGGAUCGAGGAGGCAGCAUUACAGAGGAGGUCCUCACGAGGUCGGGGGCAAUCAAGUUCUAAUGUGCCUGCAGAUACAAUAUCUGAGGAUACCAUUAGGAGUGCCACCCCUAGUUCUGUGA